GGGCCUGUAGUCCAGCGGCAGAACGUCUGCUUUACACGCUGAAGGUCCCAAGUUCAAUCCCCAACAUCUCUAGGUAGGGCUG